AGGUGGAGUACAAAGGCUAAACAGCGCCACAUCGUGUGGCAACGCCUUUGUGACCAACAUCCUGU
rnacentral:sRNA from 1 species